rnacentral:tRNA from 1 species
GGAGGUGUCGCCUAGCGGCCUAUGGCGCACGCUUGGAAAGCGUGUUAACGGGAAACUGUUUCGAGGGUUCGAAUCCCUCCUCCUCCG